CGUGGGUAACCUGCCCAUCAGAAGGGGAUAACACUUGGAAACAGGUGCUAAUACCGUAUAACAAUCGAAACCGCAUGGUUUCGUUUUGAAAGGCGCUUUACGGUGCCGCUGAUGGAUGGACCCGCGGUGCAUUAGCUAGUUGGUGAGGUAACGGCUCACCAAGGCCACGAUGCAUAGCCGACCUGAGAGGGUGAUCGGCCACAUUGGGACUGAGACACGGCCCAAACUCCUACGGGAGGCAGCAGUAGGGAAUCUUCGGCAAUGGACGAAAGUCUGACCGAGCAACGCCGCGUGAGUGAAGAAGGUUUUCGGAUCGUAAAACUCUGUUGUUAGAGAAGAACAAGGGUGAGAGUAACUGUUCACCCCUUGACGGUAUCUAACCAGAAAGCCACGGCUAACUACGUGCCAGCAGCCGCGGUAAUACGUAGGUGGCAAGCGUUGUCCGGAUUUAUUGGGCGUAAAGCGAGCGCAGGCGGUUUCUUAAGUCUGAUGUGAAAGCCCCCGGCUCAACCGGGGAGGGUCAUUGGAAACUGGGAGACUUGAGUGCAGAAGAGGAGAGUGGAAUUCCAUGUGUAGCGGUGAAAUGCGUAGAUAUAUGGAGGAACACCAGUGGCGAAGGCGGCUCUCUGGUCUGUAACUGACGCUGAGGCUCGAAAGCGUGGGGAGCAAACAGGAUUAGAUACCCUGGUAGUCCACGCCGUAAACGAUGAGUGCUAAGUGUUGGAGGGUUUCCGCCCUUCAGUGCUGCAGCUAACGCAUUAAGCACUCCGCCUGGGGAGUACGACCGCAAGGUUGAAACUCAAAGGAAUUGACGGGGGCCCGCACAAGCGGUGGAGCAUGUGGUUUAAUUCGAAGCAACGCGAAGAACCUUACCAGGUCUUGACAUCCUUUGACCACUCUAGAGAUAGAGCUUCCCCUUCGGGGGCAAAGUGACAGGUGGUGCAUGGUUGUCGUCAGCUCGUGUCGUGAGAUGUUGGGUUAAGUCCCGCAACGAGCGCAACCCUUAUUGUUAGUUGCCAUCAUUUAGUUGGGCACUCUAGCAAGACUGCCGGUGACAAACCGGAGGAAGGUGGGGAUGACGUCAAAUCAUCAUGCCCCUUAUGACCUGGGCUACACACGUGCUACAAUGGGAAGUACAACGAGUCGCGAAGUCGCGAGGCUAAGCUAAUCUCUUAAAGCUUCUCUCAGUUCGGAUUGUAGGCUGCAACUCGCCUACA
rnacentral:rRNA from 1 species